rnacentral:rRNA from 1 species
GACGAACCGUGCGAACGUUGUUCGGAAUCACUGGGCUUAAAGGGCGCGUAGGCGGGUUCGCAAGUCAGGGGUGAAAUCUUUCAGCUUAACUGGAAAACAGCCCCUGAUACUGCGAGUCUCGAGGGAGGUAGGGGCAUGUGGAACUUCCGGUGGAGCGGUGAAAUGCGUAGAUAUCGGGAGGAACACCAGUGGCGAAGGCGGCGACCUGGGCAGAUACUGACACUGAGGUGCGAAAGCGUGGGGAGCAAACAGG